rnacentral:rRNA from 1 species
CCUACGGGGGGCUGCAGUGGGGAAUAUUGGACAAUGGGGGCAACCCUGAUCCAGCCAUGCCGCGUGUGUGAAGAAGCCCCCGGGGUGGAAAGCACCUUCAGUGAGGGAGAACCGCUGGUGGGUAAUAACCAUCAGGAAAAGCCAUACCCAAAGAAGGAGGCCCCGCUAACUCCGUGCCAGCAGCCGCGGUAAUACGGGGGUGCGAGCGUUAAUCGGAAUUACUGGGCGUAAAGCGCGCGUAGGUGGCUUGAUAAGCCGGUUGUGAAAGCCCCGGGCUCAACCUGGGAACGGCAUCCGGAACUGUCAAGCUAGAGUGCAGGAGAGGAAGGUAGAAUUCCCGGUGUAGCGGUGAAAUGCGUAGAGAUCGGGAGGAAUACCAGUGGCGAAGGCGGCCUUCUGGACUGACACUGACACUGAGGUGCGAAAGCGUGGGUAGCAAACAGGAUUAGAUACCCUAGUAGUC